AGCCAUAGCGUGCAUCUGACCUAACAGAGAACUAGUCUUCGAGAUGUCGAGUCUUCGAGAGCAUCUACUGUGGGAUCUGGAGUUUCCACGGACAAAUCCAGGAGGAGCGGGAAUGAAAUUAACUGCACAUUGCGGAGUGCUUACUAAACAUGGCUCAUCUCCUCCAUCCUCACAAGAGCCCUGUAGGUGCAGGGAUUAGUGUCCCUAUCCUGCAGAUGAAACCAUAAGAUGCUCAAGGACGGUUACAGAGCUGUGUCUGCUCCAGGUUCUUGCUAGAAGUGGCACGGAGGAGAUUCCAAUGAGAACUGUCCACAUUAAGGCCACGCAAGUGCCCCCCAAGUUGGGGAAGACCUUCCUCUUCACUGUCAUUCAUAAAUGUUUAACUCCUGCGUCUCUUGUUAGCUCAAGCACAUAGCUGAUGACUAACGAGAUCGGCUGAAAAAAACAUGCCGGCACCUCCCCCAAGUGACGCUGUGAUGAAGAAGGGGGCAGGGCCGCUGCUGGGAGUGUAGACAUCCCUGAAAAGUCUUUCAGGCCACACUCUGAAAUUUGGAUGCUGUUCUGCAGGCCAGAUAUUUACAUGCAUGGCAAACCCCCACAGAUGGACUCGGACACCUCCAUGACACGGGAUCUGCAUGGCCCACUUGAGGACAGCUGCUCGCUGAGGACUGUGGCAUAGAGACAGAGACUACCAGGGCUGUGGUUUGUAGGACAGGUGUCAAGUCAGGAGGUGGAGUCUUUGUCCUUCCCCUUCACUAAGGGGCUGGUGUUGCAGCUGUGUGACUCCUGAAGCUCAUAAGGGACAUCCAGCUUUUUUGUGACUCUCUCGGGACAUGGGCCCUUGUAGCCUUGAACCUCUCUGUCAGAAGUCCAGCCAUCCUGAAGCUGCCAUAUGGAGAUACCAUGUGGAGAAAGCACAUAGAGACGGGGAGAGGUGCCCAAGGAGCCCCAGCUGUCCCAGCCCCCAGCUAUUUGAGUCACCUGAUGAAAGUGAGUGAACCUUCAGAUGUUUCCAACCGCAUAAGAGAGGGUCAGGACUAGCAGGAGUCCAGUGUGGAAUCAGUAGCA